rnacentral:rRNA from 1 species
GAAGAGUUUGAUCAUGGCUCAGAUUGAACGCUGGCGGCAGGCCUAACACAUGCAAGUCGAACGGUAACAGGAAGCAGCUUGCUGCUUUGCUGACGAGUGGCGGACGGGUGAGUAAUGUCUGGGAAACUGCCUGAUGGAGGGGGAUAACUACUGGAAACGGUGGCUAAUACCGCAUAACGUCGCAAGACCAAAGAGGGGGACCUUCGGGCCUCUUGCCAUCAGAUGUGCCCAGAUGGGAUUAGCUUGUUGGUGAGGUAACGGCUCACCAAGGCGACGAUCCCUAGCUGGUCUGAGAGGAUGACCAGCCACACUGGAACUGAGACACGGUCCAGACUCCUACGGGAGGCAGCAGUGGGGAAUAUUGCACAAUGGGCGCAAGCCUGAUGCAGCCAUGCCGCGUGUAUGAAGAAGGCCUUCGGGUUGUAAAGUACUUUCAGCGGGGAGGAAGGUGUUGUGGUUAAUAACCGCAGCAAUUGACGUUACCCGCAGAAGAAGCACCGGCUAACUCCGUGCCAGCAGCCGCGGUAAUACGGAGGGUGCAAGCGUUAAUCGGAAUUACUGGGCGUAAAGCGCACGCAGGCGGUCUGUCAAGUCGGAUGUGAAAUCCCCGGGCUCAACCUGGGAACUGCAUUC